rnacentral:lncRNA from 1 species
UAAGUCAAGAAAUCAAAAGCAAGACAAAAAACAGCAGUCUCCCAACCAAGGAGCCAAGAAACGGAAAAAAAAAGAUCAGUGGAAAAGACCACCGUGGAGUUACAUAUUUUGUGUAUGGCCGACUAUGGUAGCCGCGAUUUCGUUUACCAGGUUUGAAGCUACAAAUAAUUUUUGAAAAGAAAUAUGCAGCUCUCAUGGUAUCAGCCGAUCAAUCGGGCAAAAAAAAUUAAAGAAAAAAGAAAAACAAUAAAAAGGUGAAAGUAAUAUUUAAGAAUGAAAUCAAAGAAUGAGAAGGAAAGAAGGAGGAGAGAUAAUAAAGAUUUUGAGAGCAACAAGCAGAGGGAAAGAUCUGACCAAUGAGCGGCGGUGAGAAGAAGAGGAGAAGGGAGGAGAAAACAGCUUCAAUCCAUCUACAAUAGGAGAAAAGAAAGAAGAGAGGAAGACGAGAUAGAAAAGAAGAAAAGACAAAUGCAGGAGAAAGGAGAAGAGAAAACAAAGUCGAGGAGACGGAGCUUCUGAGAAUAGGGUGAGGCAAAGCGGCGGCGGCGGAGGAAUUUAAGAAACCCUAGAGAGGAAGUAUAUGCAGGACUUCUGGCGCAUAGCGCGGGAAAAAAAUGGCUGGUAACUCACAUGUGCGGCACGUGAGAGGACGACGAAAACCAUCCACGUCAGAAGAGCUCUUCGGCUCUUAUUCUACUUAUGUUGAAAAGACCACCGUGGAGUUACAUAUUUUGUGUAUGGCCGACUAUGGUAGCCGCGAUUUCGUUUACCAGGUUUGAAGCUACAAAUAAUUUUUGAAAAGAAAUAUGCAGCUCUCAUGGUAUCAGCCGAUCAAUCGGGCAAAAAAAAUUAAAGAAAAAAGAAAAACAAUAAAAAGGUGAAAGUAAUAUUUAAGAAUGAAAUCAAAGAAUGAGAAGGAAAGAAGGAGGAGAGAUAAUAAAGAUUUUGAGAGCAACAAGCAGAGGGAAAGAUCUGACCAAUGAGCGGCGGUGAGAAGAAGAGGAGAAGGGAGGAGAAAACAGCUUCAAUCCAUCUACAAUAGGAGAAAAGAAAGAAGAGAGGAAGACGAGAUAGAAAAGAAGAAAAGACAAAUG